GGCGGCGAUGCGGUGCACAUCGUCGGGAUGCGCGGGCACGCGGCGGCGCACGGCCACAGCCAACACCAGGGGUAUAUUAGAAAGACUUGAAACAUAAAAAGGGUUUAUUGGAAUGGGCAAAAUGGUAAUUUUUCAGAGAUAACGGUAGCUCACAAACGGAACUUAACUCCAGCGGUAUAUUAGAAAGACUUGGAACAUAAGAAGGGUAUUUUUAACAUUAGCCAUCUAAGAGGGGUAAAUAAGAAAAUCGAAAAUUUUUCAGGAGUAUAUAGGCAAUUGUCCCAAAUAUAAAAUAUCAUUCUCUACCGCU
rnacentral:lncRNA from 1 species